GCGACAUGUCCCGGGCUCCAGCGGUUCCUGGGGAGCAGCAUGAUAGGAACACUUAUUCCCAGCCGCGAGUCCCCUUCUCCAUCAUUCCCAGGACGAUUCUGAAUAGUCCUCAGAUUUUAGCUUGUUGAUAAGCGUCUUGGGAACUCUUCCUGUAACGGGCGUCUAGAGUGGGACAGCUGUUGGAGACCUUCCCCUUAAGUCUGUGGAGAUGCUUUGUGGUGUUACUGUUGGAACUGAGUGCAGUACAAGUUGGUCUUGAGACAAAGGGCCCAGAAGCUUUGGUGGCUAUUGAUCGUCAGGGACUCUUGUCCCCGGAGUUGUAUUCACCUAGCCAUCCUGAAGUUCCUCGUACAUUCAAACAUCAGCUCUGCCCGAGUGGAGGUCCCUGUGGGGAAGGGAACUCUUCAGGCCACCAGUGGCUGUGCAGAGCUGUGACCUCCUGCUGCCAUCGAUGACACCAUCUGUGUCCUCUAAUUCACUUCAGUUCCAACACUCCUGAAUGGAAGACAGCGCCAGUCCAUCAGCCGGAGGACUCAGUCCCAGGAGAUUGCUGCUAGAUUCAGAUGCCUGUGACAAGCACGGGUUGUGAUUUGUGCUUCUGACCUACGGUUCCCAUGAUCUUUUCAUCAGUUCAGAGCUGCAAGACUGACCCAGUACUGCCACCAGCUGCCUGGGGUAGGAAGAGUCUCCUUAUGUGGGGACCAGAGGCCACUCAAGUGCUGAGUAAUGAGUAGAGCGUGGGAAAUAUUUGAUCUCCUUAUAUCCUUACAGUGAGCCACCUCUUUUCUGUCAGAAUCUCCAGGGACAUUGUAAACUUUACCAGAAGAGACCCUAGAAAGUAGAUUCCCCGAAUGGAAUGCUGGGAUUGGGUUGCAUGUAUAUUUAAGUACAUAGACAAUAUCUUUGCAUGGACAAAGAGGACCCAGGAAAUCAGGAGGACACAAGAGUUUCACAAGCACCAGCGAGGUGACACAGGAUGGGACUUGUCAGGAUCCCAGUUUGAUCCCCUCUUCUCCCCAGUCUUUGCACUCCCUCUUGAAGACCCAGGAGACAGAGUAUAGCAGAGAAGCAGAGGUUAUUUACAAGUAAAAUACACACUCAAUGGGGAGAACCAACAGUGGCCAAAGAAACCAUUGCUCCUAUCUACGUUCUAGGCAGGUUACUCUACUUCCGAUAGUCUCUGUAACAAGCUGCUUUCCUAAGGGACUUUGUCCUGUCUAUGUGACUGAAAGACCUGCUUGUUCUUUAUCAGGAAGCCUCUUGCCAUGUAGUCCUCCUCCUUGUAAGACUCAGGGCUGCUAGAGCCUGGUUUAGAUAUAUUUCCACUGAUGAUGAUUUAAUCAGUUCAAGAUGCCAUAUCUCCUCUCAGGGCCAGAGGUAUGAAUUAGGUCUAAUUCUUCUGAAUGAUACUUAAAGUCCUCCUGGGUUUCAUAGACUGUUUGUUGCCUAUGAAGGAAGUAUCCAGUCCUAAUCUCCUCCAAACCUGCUAGUGUGUAACUAAGAACCUAAGACAAGGUUUGAAGAUAAGAAGACAUUAGGCGAUAAAAUCCCUGAGGUACAUAACUGCCAGGAUUACAAACGAUGAUUGCAAGUGGCUUCUUUCUGAUUGUGUUGACAAAAUUAUGAUUUAAAAAAGGACCAGGUUGUGACUGGAGAGAUGGCUCAGAGGUUAAGAGCACUGACUGCUCUUCCGGAGGUCCUGAGUUCAAUUCCCAGCAAC